GGGAAGCUCCAUCCGCAAUGGCUUCUUCUUCUUCAUCACAGAGCUUGGUUUUAAGAAAAAUUCAAGCACUUCAUUACUGGCAACUCCUCCUGGCGAGCCCUCUACCUCGAUAUAGCCGCUAGAUCGAUAAAGAUUCAAGCAUGGAUUGAAAUCACCUCCACAUCAAAAAACUCUCACUGAUUUCAUGAUUCAACAGUCAUUGAAGACUUCUUAUACCUAGAUGCAGGCGACCUGAGCGUAGGUUAUUAGCAAAGCUGAAGGAUGCCAAAACAGUCAGUGAUGGAACCUUGUCAAGAUGAGUUUCUUGUCUUUAAUUCCUUUGUGCAUUUUGGUACUCAGUCUUUUGAUUAAUCUCCUCAAAAGGUUGAACCCCAUCGAGAUUAAUAUCACUUUUUAAGUCGACACAUCGCAUACGUUGUAAUCAAACUAUUUAUCGCUUGGAAAUUAGUGGUACCAAAAAAUCUCCCCUUUCUCAUACUGUCGUAGAUACUUUAUCAUUCUAAACCUGUUGUAAUGUAUGUGCUUAUCCAUUGUAGCUUUUGUUUUGCACUUUGCUAAUCCUCAAAUUAGGUAUAUUUUCUUUCUCUAGUUACAAUAUUGUCCUAGCCUUCUGUGAUAGUUCUUGAAUGUUAUGAUAUUGUUGUCUCCCAAUUCCUGCAAAAUGAACAAACGAUUUAGUAAAAAAAAUCAUCUAGAUUUUUUCCUUCUUUGAAAGUAUGAACCACUUCCACCCUAUGAUUCUUUAUCAAUUGCUUAAUGAACUUGGCUUCCCAAGUUAUCUACCAUGGAACCUCCCACACUUCAUUUAGUACUUUCUAAGCUAACAGAGAAUCAGUCUCAAUAAUCAAGGAAAUCAAGGUCUUAUGAAUACAAUAAUAUAAGCCCUCCUUAAUUUGUCAUGAUCUCAGCCUCCAAAAUUGAGUCCUUUGUAACCCCUUUAGAUUCUGCAUACACCAGAUCC
rnacentral:lncRNA from 1 species